GGUGAUUGAGGAAGUGGUAAAUGAAACUGAAAAGAUUCUUGCUGAUGAGAAGCCUGUAGGAGAGGAAGAUGCAGCAGAAGGAAACAAGGACAGUCCUGCUAAUGAAAAUGAAGAAAAGGAGCCUGAGGACAAGGAGAUGACACUGGAAGAGUAUGAGAAGGUGCUGGAAGAGAAAAGGAAGGCCCUGCAGGCUC